CCACGCUAAGCGGGGAGCUAGCGGUGCCCUGAUUUCCUCGAUUCGUCGGGGGAUGACCUGCAAGCCGCUUUAGCAGGGCCGAAUUCCCGAUUGAGGGGUUAUUCUGGUUCUGGUUGAACCGUUUAGAGAAGUGUUGAAGCCCAAGUCCUGCGCACGCAAUACUUGCCAACCCCGUCAGGUCCGGAAGGAAGCAGCGGUAAACAAGUCUCUUGCGGGGUGCGGACCAACCUGGGCCGAGCCGAUCGGCGGGAAUAACGGGGUCAGGAGCCUCGAGAGAGGGUGCGUGG
rnacentral:SRP_RNA from 1 species